rnacentral:rRNA from 1 species
UACGGAGGGUGCGAGCGUUGUUCGGAAUCACUGGGCGUAAAGGGCGUGUAGGCGGUUCGCUAAGUCUGAUGUGAAAGCCCGGGGCUCACCCCCGGAAGUGCAUUGGAAACUGGCGAACUCGAGUCCCGGAGAGGAAGGUGGAAUUCCUGGUGUAGCGGUGAAAUGCGUAGAUAUCAGGAGGAACACCGGUGGCGAAGGCGGCCUUCUGGACGGUGACUGACGCUGAGACGCGAAAGCGUGGGGAGCAAACAGG